rnacentral:rRNA from 1 species
GAUGAACGCUGGCGGCGUGCCUAAUACAUGCAAGUCGAGCGAACGGACGAGAAGCUUGCUUUUCUGAUGUUAGCGGCGGACGGGUGAGUAACACGUGGAUAACCUACCUAUAAGACUGGGAUAACUUCGGGAAACCGGAGCUAAUACCGGAUAAUAUUUUGAACCGCAUGGUUCAAAAGUGAAAGACGGUCUUGCUGUCACUUAUAGAUGGAUCCGCGCUGCAUUAGCUAGUUGGUAAGGUAACGGCUUACCAAGGCAACGAUGCAUAGCCGACCUGAGAGGGUGAUCGGCCACACUGGAACUGAGACACGGUCCAGACUCAGACGGGAGGCAGCAGUAGGGAAUCUUCCGAAAUGGGCGAAAGCCUGACGGAGCAACGCCGCGUGAGUGAUGAAGGUCUUAGGAUCGUAAAACUCUGUUAUUAGGGAAGAACAUAUGUGUAAGUAACUGUGCACAUCUUGACGGUACCUAAUCAGAAAGACACGGCUAACUACGUG